GGAUUAGAAACCCGGGUAGUCCACGCCGUAAACGAUGAGUGCUAGUUGUCGGGCGGCAUGCCGUUCGGUGACGCAGCUAACGCAUUAAGCACUCCGCCUGGGGAGUACGGUCGCAAUAUUAAAAACUCAAAGGAAUUGACGGGGGGCCCGCACAAGCAGCGGAGCAUGUGGUUUAAUUCGACGCAACGCGAAGAACCUUACCUGGGCUUGACAUGUCCGUGACCGGCGUGGAAACACGUCUUCCCUUCGGGGCACGGUCACAGGUGGUGCAUGGCUGUCGUCAGCUCGUGUCGUGAGAUGUUGGGUUAAGUCCCGCAACGAGCGCAACCC
rnacentral:rRNA from 1 species